UGCUUGCUCUGCAGCACGUGGCUGCAGGAGCUGCUUAGUCCUGGCCCCUCUGUCCCCUGCCAGAGCUUUGCCAUGGUGAGGUGUCCCCUGAGGUGAGAGAGGGGUGAGUUUGCCCAGGACCUUGGAGCACAGGGAGAAGACCUGUGAAAAACCAGUGAGUGAAACCCCUCCUGCAAGCAGAGAGGGGCACAGUCUGCUUCUGCAGGGCUGGAUUUCACUCUUGUGGGGUUUAGUUCAGUUCAGUUGUGCCUUUGAAGCACAGGAGGGGCUUUUCCAGCUGGAGAGCUGUUGUCUUGGGUGUGCAGGGAGCUCUGUCUCUCUUGCUCCUGUCCUUACCUUGCCCAACAGCCUCUAGGAGACACAUACCCCUUUCUUCUCUGCUGUGGGGUCAGCUUUACAGCAGCAGGGAGAACAAUGUGGCUCUCUAUUGCAGGCUGUGGGUAGGGGCUGCAGAGGUGGGGAGUGGCAUGGCUGUGAGGCUGCUUCAGAACAGGAUGAUUGCUUUACCUGUACCCAUCAAUCUCUUGGGGAAACCAAGAGCACCAGGCUGGCCCUGGCAGCCCCAGGUGACCCCAGGUCAGCUUGUCUGCUGAUCUCCCUCCUUGAUCCAGUUCUUCUUCACCUGUAGAACCCCUCUGGGCUUCUUGGGCAGGGCUCUGGUGCAGCACCAGCAUGGCAGAGACUUGCCCCAGGCUCCUGGAUAGCUGAGAGUGCCCAGAGCCCCUCGAGUGCCUCCAGCUGAGUCCUUGGCUCUCUGAGCAGGGCUGGGAGCUGUGGUGGGCUCCCCACACACUCCCCUGCUUUCUGCAUGAACCUGACCCUGGGUGAUGGAUGUCUUGGGCUUCAGGGGGGGCAAUUUAAACUGUCAGUGACUGUCCUGUCUUCUUCCCUGCAGGUAGGCAGGAGUGUCCCUGCAGCCAAGUGAGGCAGCAUGGCAGUGGGGGAGUGGAGAGGAGCUGCUGAAGGGCUGAGCUCUCCACGACUCCCACAUGUGCCCAGCUGACCUUCCCCUGGCUCUUGGCAAUACCUGGCCCUUCUGCAGGGCUUGGGAGCCCACAUCCACACCUCCCAGCAGCGUGCUCCUCAUGGCUGGCACCCCACGAGCUGCCCAGCCCGGGGGCUACACUGGGGCUGCCGGGCACCGGGUCUCUGCCUUCAUCUCUGUGUCUGCAGCAGCUCCUGGCACACGGGGCUGAGCCUGCCCCGGGAGGCAGGGUGGAGGAUGCAGUGUGCACUGUAAGAGCUGGACUCAAGCCUCCCUGCCAGCUCCCGUGGGCAGCGCUGUGCAGGGGCAGCGUGCAGCGGGGCGCCGGCAGCUCAGAGGCGGCUCACGGCUCACGGGGAGGUGCAGAGACCCGGCUGGGCUCCGGGAUUUGCUGGAAGCCGGCUGGGAAGGUGGAGGCUGGAGCCCAGCUGGGCAGGAGGAGGACCCCGGGCAUGACAGAGUGGCCAGUUCAGCAUGGCACAGCAGCGAAGGGGGGAAGUGCCUGAGAGGAUGGAAAACCCUGCCAGUGAGAUCUGUGGCCGAGCUUGUUGCUCCACAGUGUGCUGAGGAAGUUGGAAAGAGGCUCAGACUCAAGUGCUGAGGAGAGGGAGAGUUGAUACUGCAGCCUGACCAAGGUGAGAGGCAGAGGAGGUGAGGCCAGACUUCUCCAGCAAAGGAUGGCACAUUUGCAACCUGGAUGGUGUCUUUGUCAAAGUUCAUCUCCUUCUGGAAAGGCUCAAGAGAAGGUUGGCCUGCCAAGCUGCUCCCUGACCAGCCCUCCCCAGCUGCAACAGCCAAGGCAAGAGGAUCCCAGCCCUCCUCCUGCAAGAUCCUUCCUGGGCCUCUUGAAAAUGCUGCUUUGGUUGUCCUUGUAAAAGAGAAAGAAACAAGGUUUGCAUAAUAAAGUCUAU